rnacentral:rRNA from 1 species
UACAGAGGUGGCAAGCGUUGUUCGGAAUUACUGGGCGUAAAGGGCGCGUAGGCGGCUUGGUCAGUCCCGUGUGAAAUCCCUCGGCUCAACUGAGGAACUGCACGGGAAACUGCCUGGCUUGAGUUCGGGAGAGGGAAGCGGAAUUCCGGGUGUAGCGGUGAAAUGCGCAGAUAUCAGGAAGAACACCCGUGGCGAAGGCGGCUCUCUGGGACGGUACUGACGCUGAGACGCGAAAGCGUGGGGAGCGAACAGG